GAUGAACGCUGGCGGCGUGCCUAAUACAUGCGAGUCGAGCGAACGGACGAGAAGCUUGCUUCUCUGAUGUUAGCGGCGGACGGGUGAGUAACACGUGGAUAACCUACCUAUAAGACUGGGAUAACUUCGGGAAACCGGAGCUAAUACCGGAUAAUAUUUUGAACCGCAUGGUUCAAAAGUGAAAGACGUUCUUGCUGUCACUUAUAGAUGGAUCCGCGCUGCAUUAGCUAGUUGGUAAGGUAACGGCUUACCAAGGCAACGAUGCAUAGCCGACCUGAGAGGGUGAGCGGCCACACUGGAACUGAGACACGGUCCAGACUCCUGAGGGAGGCAGCAGUAGGGAAUCUUCCGCAAUGGGCGAAAGCCUGACGGAGCAACGCCGAGUGAGUGAUGAAGGUCUUCGGAUCGUAAAACUCUGUUAUUAGGGAAGAACAUAUGUGUAAGUAACUGUGCACAUCUUGACGGUACCUAAUCAGAAAGCCACGGCUAACUACGUG
rnacentral:rRNA from 1 species